GAUUAGUUAAGUGAAGAAGAGCGCACGGUGAAUGCCUUGGCACCAGGAGCCGAAGAAGGACGGGACUAACACCGAUAUGCCCCGGGAAGUCGUAAGUAGACUGUGAUCCGGGGAUUUCCGAAUGGGGCAACCCGCUGUCCGUAAUGGGGCAGUACGCGUAUCUGAAUACAUAGGGUACGUGAGGCAGACCCGGGGAACUGAAACAUCUCAGUACCCGGAGGAAAAGAAAGCAAAAGCGAUUUCCCGAGUAGCGGCGAGCGAAACGGAAGAAGCCCAAACCGGAAAGUUUACUUUCCGGGGUUGAAGGACACUCCAUCGGAGUUACCAAGAAACGCUUUAGACGAAUCGAUCUGGAAUGAUCAGCCAAAGAAGGUAAGAGCCCUGUAGUCGAAAAGGUGUUUCCUCCGGAGUGGAUCCUGAGUACGGCGGAACACGGGAAAUUCCGUCGGAAUCCGGGAGGACCAUCUCCCAAGGCUAAAUACUUCCUGGUGACCGAUAGUGAACCAGUACCGUGAGGGAAAGGUGAAAAGCACCCCGGAAGGGGAGUGAAAGAGAACCUGAAACCGUGCGCUUACAAGUAGUCGAAGCCCGUUUAUGGGUGACGGCGUACCUUUUGUAGAAUGGACCGGCGAGUUGCGAUCGUAUGCAAGGUUAAGUGGCAGACACGGAGCCGAAGCGAAAGCGAGUCUGAACAGGGCGC
rnacentral:rRNA from 1 species